rnacentral:rRNA from 1 species
UACGAAGGGUGCAAGCGUUACUCGGAAUUACUGGGCGUAAAGGGUGCGUAGGUGGUCGUUUAAGUCCGUUGUGAAAUCCCUGGGCUCAACCUGGGAAUGGCAGUGGAUACUGGACGGCUAGAAUGCGGUAGAGGGUAGUGGAAUUCCCGGUGUAGCAGUGAAAUGCGCAGAUAUCAGGAAGAACACCCGUGGCUAAGGCGGCUCUCUAGUACGGUACUGACGCUGAGACGCGAAAGCGUGGGGAGCGAACAGG